rnacentral:rRNA from 1 species
UACGUAGGGGGCAAGCGUUGUCCGGAAUCAUUGGGCGUAAAGAGCGUGUAGGCGGCCAACUAAGUCCUGCGUGAAAUCUCGGGGCUCAACCCCGAGCGGUCGUGGGAAACUGGUUGGCUAGAGUGCGGGAGAGGAGAGUGGAAUUCCUGGUGUAGCGGUGAAAUGCGCAGAUAUCAGGAGGAACACCCAUAGCGAAGGCAGCUUGCUGGGACGUUACUGACGCUAAGGCGCGAAAGCGUGGGGAGCGAACAGG